rnacentral:misc_RNA from 1 species
UUUCCGUAGGUGAACCUGCGGAAGGAUCAUUAGUGAAUUGAAUAUGUUAGCGACCUCUUCGGAGUCCCUAGCAUCAAAUCAUAUCCAUAACACCUGUGAACUGUAAGGCUGUCUUGAGAACGAAAGUGAUUAGAGCGCCUGCCCAUUUUAUACAAACAUUAAAGUAACAAACGUAGUCUUAUUAUAAUCUAAUAAAACUUUCAACAACGGAUCUCUUGGCUCUC